CAGCCGUAAACUAUGCGCGUUAGGUGUACUGGUGACCACGAGUCACCGGGGUGCCGAAGGGAAACCGCGAAACGUGCCGCCUGGGAAGUACGGUCGCAAGGCUGAAACUUAAAGGAAUUGGCGGGGGGAGCACCACAACGGGUGGAGCCUGCGGUUUAAUUGGACUCAACGCCGGAAAUCUCACCGGAUAGGACAGACAUAUGAUAGUCGGGCUGAAGACUCUACUUGAUGAUCUGAGAGGAGGUGCAUGGCGUCAGUGACU
rnacentral:rRNA from 1 species